rnacentral:rRNA from 1 species
CGCCAGACUCCUACGGGAGGCAGCAGUAAGGGAUAUUGGUCAAUGGGGGAAACCCUGAACCAGCAACGCCGCGUGAGGGAAGACGGUUUUCGGAUUGUAAACCUCUGUCCUCUGUGAAGAUGAUGACGGUAGCAGAGGAGGAAGCUCCGGCUAACUACGUGCCAGCAGCCGCGGUAAUACGUAGGGAGCGAGCGUUAUCCGGAUUUACUGGGUGUAAAGGGCGUGUAGGCGGGAAAGCAAGUCAGAUGUGAAAACCACGGGCUCAACCUGUGGCCUGCAUUUGAAACUGUUUUUCUUGAGUACUGGAGAGGCAGACGGAAUUCCUAGUGUAGCGGUGAAAUGCGUAGAUAUUAGGAGGAACACCAGUGGCGAAGGCGGCCUACUGGACGGUGACUGACGCUGAGGCUCGAAAGCGUGGGGAGCAAACAGGAUUAGAUACCCCCGUA